rnacentral:rRNA from 1 species
GAUGAACGCUGGCGGCGUGCCUAAUACAUGCAAGUCGAGCGAACAGACGAGGAGCUUGCUCCUCUGACGUUAGCGGCGGACGGGUGAGUAACACGUGGAUAACCUACCUAUAAGACUGGGAUAACUUCGGGAAACCGGAGCUAAUACCGGAUAAUAUAUUGAACCGCAUGGUUCAAUAGUGAAAGACGGUUUUGCUGUCACUUAUAGAUGGAUCCGCGCCGCAUUAGCUAGUUGGUAAGGUAACGGCUCACCAAGGCAACGAUGCGUAGCCGACCUGAGAGCAGGAUAGGCCACACUGGAACUGAGACACGGUCCAGCCGCCGCCGGGAGGCAGCAGUGGGGAAUAUUGGACAAUGGGCGAAAGCCUGACCCAGCCAAACCGCGUGGGUGAAGAAGGCCUUCGGGUUGUAAAGCCCUUUUGUUGGGAAAGAAAAGCAGCAUGUUAAACCCCCGCGGUUCUGACGGUACCAAAAGAAAAAGCACCGGCUAACUACGUG